ensembl:lncRNA
AUGUUGAAUGAUUUAUUGAAGGGGAAGAUUGACGAGAUCGAUCAGCAUUUCUCCAGUUUUCAAGGCUAUAAGUCCCCCCAGUACUGCACGGAGACGCGGUACCAGGUGAGCGUGGACACGAGUCCAGCUGUGACGCCCAGCAGCAUCCAGUCUGAUGGUAUACAGGAGGAUGUGCUGAUCACGCCAAUCAUACAGAUUGUGCCAAUCGGGCCAAUCACGCAGUACGUCACCUGCCCCAAUGGACAACAGUCUGUUCAGACCAGCUGCACUCCUAUGCCUUAUGUCCACGGCCCGGCCCCCUACUGUGAGAAAGACACACCCCCUCCAGACCCUGGCCCCGCCCACCCGGAGCUCAUGUCUGUCCCAGGCAUGGACUACAGCAUGAUUCUAAACUCUGCUCCCUACUGUGAGGAAGACACGCCCCCUCCAGACCCUGGCCCCGUCCACCCGGAGCUCAUAAGCCCCGCCCCCUACUGUAAUGUAGCAUUGCAUCAGUGUCUCAGCAGUGGAUGCUCAGCAGUGAAUGGGUGCCGUCAGAAUGAGAGUCCAAACAGCUGAUAAAAACAUCACAAUAAUCCACAGCACUCCAGUCCAUCAGUUAACAUCUGGAGAAGACAAAAGCUGAAACAAAUCCAGCAUUUAACUUCAAACGAUGGUCUGAGGACGAGCACAUUUUCAGCUUUUGGGUGAACUAUUCCUUUAAAAUGAUGUCAAACAAAAACAGAUUAAAUUUGAUUGAAGAUCACAAUGAUAUAAAUGUUAUAUUUUUGACUAACAUGCAUGAAGAAUUGUACAAAGGCCAUUUUUCACGGUUCACAUAAAAUGUUGCUCUAUAUUUUGAGAAAAAAGGUCGGGAAGUCAAUCUGGAUUAGUAAACACUUAUGAACAUUAUGAUAUUAAACACACAGGGCUUAUGACAAACCCACACAGCGGCCCAAUAUGUUCAACGAUUCGACGGAGCGAUCAAUGUAAUGAAAACACAAGCAAACGCUGCAGGCUGUUACCGAACCGAGUUUAAUCUGCACACAGUUCAAUGUUAUAACCAAUCCCAAAUGAGCAGGCGACCCAUGGACGAGGUGAAUGAAGCUCUGUGCUUGUAGUAGGUUAAAGAGAACAUGUUAGCAUAUCCUUAACACUUACAGCUGCAGCGAUGGAGACUGUGUAAACUAAUUAGGCUUAAUGUAUGUCACAGCACUGACACUAAACACACACACACACACACACACACACACACACACACACACACACACACACACACAGAGAGAGGGAUUACACGCUAAUACUGCCAUGGGGGAAGCAUUGAGGAUAAGCUGCAUGUAUAUAUAUAUAUAUAUAUAUAUAUAUAUAUAUAUAUAUAUAUAUAUAUAUAUAUAUAUAUAUAUAUAUAUAUAUAUAUAUAUAUAUAUAUAUAUAUAUAUAUAUAUAUAUAUAUAAAAAAUUAAAUGGGUUUGCAAUGGUAUCAAUUUUUCAGGUCGACUUGACCCACAAAGGCAGAGAUAGUGACAAUGAAAUAUACAUCAUGCAUCUGAAUAUAUAAAACCACACCCACAGAAUCGUGUUCCAUCAGUUUUAAAAAGUCUUGUGCUUUCACUCUCUCUCCACUGAGUCAAAUUCAAUUUAUAUGCAGUGUUUCAAAGGAAAUACCAUUUAACUAAAGAGAGAGAGAGAGAAAGAGAGAGAGAGAGAGAGAGAGAGAGAGAGAGAGAGAGAUGAUUUUUAGCAUGUUCAGUGUGAAUCCGUGGGGUUUUCUCACCUGUUUUCUGGUCUAGUGGGUGAGAAUGGUGUAUCUGACCGUUAAGUAAAGUAGCAUCACACCUCUGAGUAUGAGGAGCAGAAGUAGUGACGCUUGACUCAGAGAAUAAAUAUGAAAUGGCAGUGGGCGUGGCUCGGGUUCAUGUUUUAUUAAAAACUAAUGCAAUUACACACAAAUAGACUGAUACACACCAUCAUUUCCCUGCAAAUUCACACACUUCACUGAGAUUAGUGUGGAACGUUAUUUCACAGAGCAUUAAUGACCAACGAGUUCUUAUAAAGCACACACACGGUUACGUGUGUGUGUGUGUGUGUGUGUGUGUGUGUGUAGUCCAGGCGUUUGACCUCCUUUCACAUGGCUGAACACAGCUGUACAAACUCUACAGACAACAGUAACUGAGGAACUGAGAACGAUGUCUCUAGGCACUAAAGGCACAGACACACACACACACUUGCCAUGUUUUAUUCAUGCACAUUGCACACACUCUCUCACACACACAGACAUCAGAGCGGAGCAGACAGAGUGGAAACAGCGACUGUGUUUGUUUCUAAAUAGAGCGUGUUUAUCAGGAGGGUCUUAGGUAAACAAACAGCAUGAGAAGAGAGACGGCAAAGGAUCAGCGACACAUUCGCCCAUCUCUCUCCCCGCGGGCUGAGCGCAGUUCACAAAUGAUUUGAUCUCCCUCUAAAAUACAA